CAGCAGCCACGGGAAUACGUAGGUGGCAAGCGUUGUCCGGAAUUAUUGGGCGUAAAGGGCUCGCAGGCGGUUUCUUAAGUCUGAUGUGAAAGCCCCCGGCUCAACCGGGGAGGGUCAUUGGAAACUGGGAAACUUGAGUGCAGAGGAGGAGAGUGGAAUUCCACGUGUAGCGGUGAAAUGCGUAGAGAUGUGGAGGAACACCAGUGGCGAAGGCGACUCUCUGGUCUGUAACUGACGCUGAGGAGCGAAAGCGUGGGGAGCGAACAGGAUUAGAGACCCCAGUAGUCCCUGUCUCUUAUAC
rnacentral:rRNA from 1 species